UAUAGAUGUAGAUGAAACAGAUCAGUCUCUUUAGAUGUAGGUGAUGUUGAGCAGGUUGUAAUGUGGUAUCUGUCCAGCAGAGGGCAGCAUCUCAUUACUGACCUGUGUCCUUCACUCGUUUCAACUUCCAGCCUUCUUUCCUCCACCUCCACCGCCGCCAUGUUUUUUUCUGCCCCCACUGAACAUCCGUCAACAAGGACUCAAGAGCAUCGAGGAGGCUCCACUGUCAGGACUGGUCAGCCAGACCUGAUCCACCAGGGUCCAUGAGGAUCCACCAGGAUCCACCAGGGUCCACCAGGGUCCAUGAGGAUCCACCAGGGUCCACCAGGGUCCACGAGGAUCCACCAGGGUCCACGACUGGCUGUUUCCUACCUUCCCUCCAGUCGAACUGCAGAGUCACUGUUCAGAGACUGUCGAGUCCAGGUGAGUCCAGGCAUCAUGGGAAACGUAGGAAACCGCCGUCUGGAACAGCGGCGGGGUCAGGAGACAGUGGAGCGACAUCACUUCCUCUCUGCAGCUGGAAUGUGCCGACUGGGAGGAGCGCACAGGAAGAGGAAGUGGAGCCUCCUACCGCCGCUGCAGGGAGAGGUCAGAGGUCACACAACGGUAUCGGGGUCUCACCUUUCAGCCCGUUACCAUGGAGACAAAACCAAGAGAGCGUGGACGUGAUGGUGAACAAGGUUCUUGAUCUCCGUGGUAACUGGUUCUAGGACCGGGUUCAAAGAAGACCAGGAGUCCUGGAGAAAGUUCCAGCAGGUCCUGACUUGUUCUCAGAAGACGUUCUUGCAAAGGUUCUAAGGAUCAGAGCGGAGGUUCUCUUCACAGCUCAAACUCCUGGAUGUUCACAGGUUCUUCAGCAGGUUCUACCAGUCUGUGGUGAGGUUCUGUGAUUUCCGAGGUUCUUUAUUUGGUUAUGAGAGUUGCUGGUGAAAUUGCAGGUGUUCUGGAGGUUCUUCAGGAGGAUCUCUGAGUCGUUCGGGAGGUUCCAGGAGUUUCACAGAGGUCCUCAGGUAAAUUCUGAGAGUCACCGGCUCCUGAGUUUCAGAGGUUCUUCAAGAGGUUCUAAGAUUUGUUGCUGAGGUCCAGGAAGUUUUGAAGCUACUUGAAGAUGAUCACAGGCUUGUUGGUGAGGUUCUUGGAGUUUCAGAGGUUCUUGAGGAGGUUCUGAGAGCUGUUGGUGUUAUUCCGAGAGUUUGUUGAGGAGCUUUAGAGAGAGGGAGGCUCUUACAAUCGUGAUGGAGGUUCUUUGGCAGGUUCUACAGGAGGUUUUCAGAAGAACUGCUGAGACUCCAGGGCUCAGUGACGUUCUCCGUCAGCUCCGGUCCUCGGUCAGAGUCCAGGAGUGUCAGAGGUCGUUAAGGAGGAACCAGGCGUCGGGGAGGAGCUGCCAGAUGUCUAUAACGGGGUUCCCUGAGACUCCAGGAGGUUUCAAGGUUCCUGACUGGAGUCCCAGAGGUUCUACAGCCGGUUCCACAAGCUCUGGAAUAGUUUCCAGGGUGCUGUGGUAUGAUGGAGUGAGCUUGGCCAAUCAGGAGCCGGAUAUGUCCAAUGUGACAAGCUGGGACCUGAAUCAUCAUGCCGAGGACCGACUGCCAUCACCAUGGCAACCGCUGAGAUGUCUCCCCUCCAUCAGGUAUGAAGAAAAGACGAGAGCUGCUGCUGAUCCAGGUUCAGCUGGUGAACUCCACCAAUCAGCAGAAUCAACAACAGUGACAUCACUGCAGCAACCUUCAAUGUGAAGAUCGCCGAUGCAGACUCCCAUCAUGCAA